rnacentral:rRNA from 1 species
UGGGGAAUAUUGCGCAAUGGACGAAAGUCUGACGCAGCAAUGCCGCGUGGGCGAUGAAGGCCCUUGGGUCGUAAAGCCCUGUCGGAGGGGACGAAACCACCGGGGAGGAAAUGCCUCGGUAUUGACGGUACCCUCGAAGGAAGCACCGGCUAACUCCGUGCCAGCAGCCGCGGUAAUACGGGGGGUGCAAGCGUUGUUCGGAAUCACUGGGCGUAAAGCGCGUGUAGGCGGAUUGUUAAGUCAGAUGUGAAAGCCCGCGGCUUAACUGCGGAAGUGCAUUUGAAACUGGCAGUCUAGAGUAUGGAAGAGGGUAGGGGAAUUCCCGGUGUAGAGGUGAAAUUCGUAGAUAUCGGGAGGAAUACCGGUGGCGAAGGCGCCUGCCUGGGCCAAUACUGACGCUGAGACGCGAAAGCGUGGGUAGCAAACAGG